rnacentral:lncRNA from 1 species
UUUUUACCAUCAUAUAAUGAUAACAAUCUAGUGUCAUUUACAGAAACAGAUAAGAAAAAUCCUAAAUGUUGAUAUUAUGAAACAUUUAAAUGUAGACAUUAGACCAUAUAUAUGGUCCAAGGUUCAAGCAUAUACAUGUACACAUCUAUACUCGCAUAUACUAUUCUCCAUUACACAAACUUACUUUAAAAAAACACAAAAUAUUACUACGAAUCGCGCUAGCUACUCUUAUUGACACCCUGCAUAUCCAUUGGUGAAUUCGCCAUACUACUAACAGACCCCAUGGUCUGUGAACUCAACUGCGGGCUUGCAGGACAAUUCGCCUCUUGAUUACCCGCACUCAUUGGCGGCUGGAUGGUUCCAGAGCUUAACUGCGGGCUCAUCGGGGUUCGCGCACUCAUUUGCUGGGGGCUAGCCUGUUGUUGGGGCGGUAGUCCCAUUGACGGUGAACCCACCUGCUGAGGUGGCGAUAGAACUGCUUGUAACGGUGAUGUUGAUUCUUGCUGCUGCUGUUGUAAUUGCUGAUGUGGCAUUUGCUGUUGCUGCGGUAAUUGCUGAUGUGGCAUUUGCUGUUGUGGUAACUGCUGCUGCUGUUGUUGCGGAUUCAUGUAAGCGUUCAUCCCGGAUAUCAAUUUCGGUGGGGCCAUGUUGGUGCGUUGCAUUGGGUUCAUGUUCAUGUUGUUAAUGUUGUUACCUCGGUUCAUAUUGGGACCCAGCAUCGAGUAGUUACCGGACCCCGGAUGCACCUGCCGAUUAGCACCCGUCAACCCAGUAAUAUUACCAGAUUGCCCUGCGGCCCCACCUAACAUAUUCCGGUUCUGUGUCAUUCUAAGCUUUGUCGUCAUAAUCGCAGCCUGAGCUGGCGAAAUUUGCCCAGACCUAAGAUGCUGGCUUAUCAUGUUACUAAAAUUCGACGCCUGACUCAUACUCAUCGGGUUCUGACCCAUAUUAUUACCCAUUCCUGAGAUCGCCCCCGUCAUUUGCGGCGAAAUUCCACGGGUCCCACCCAUCAUAUUCCCCAUACCUUGAAGCCCAACCAUAUUAUUCCCCGCAUUACCAAGUCCCAUCAUCAUUUUCCUCUGCAUUUGAAGCGGUUGUUGCUGCUGCAACAUUUGAAGCUGUAGCGCGGACGGUUUAUUCAACAUAUGACCUAAUUGUUGCAUGUUUGAAUUCUGUCCCAUUGCGUUUAACUGCGAUAACGGAUUUGAUCCAAGCAUCAUAGCAGACGAUCUUUGCAGCUGUUGUUGCAUCAAGUGCGGGUUUUGUUGGAACGACGGUUGUGAGUCCGGUUGCAUCGGUCGUGCUGGUAACCCACCCUGAGGAAUUUGCAGCGGUUGUGAGUUUGCGGGUGGAUGCAUUCUUGCACCUGAUGAAUUUACUGAUCCGUUAUUAUUAUUUGGUCCACUAUCGGUUGGUUUUGCAAUUUCGUUAGACGGCUGGCCUGAAACCGAUUCCGGGAUUUCAACUUUGGGGGUGAUUACAGAUGCAUUGUUAUUAGGUUGAUCACCAGAAGAUCGAACAAUAUUAGUUGGCUUUGGUUGAAGAUGAUCGCCUUCAACUUCAUAACCUUCACGAAUUAUCUGCAUACAUAUUUCAAUUUUCAUUUUCAUACACAAUAAAAUCAGAAAUAUGAUUUUUGGAAAUUAGUAAAUUCAAUUUUGAAGGUCCUACCAGUGUACAGAACUGCGCUGCAAGCAAGUCGGCAACGUGCUAAAAUGAUUCAAUUGUUUGGGGCGAAAUCGAGUGCCUUUUUUGGAAACCUUGAAGGAAACCCCCAUUGUUAGUUAUCAAAUGGAAUCGGAGGUUUUGAGU